GUUCAUAUUAAAAAUGUAAAGCUAUUACUACUGCAAUGAAAUGUACUUAAUAUCUUGACUUUUUUGGAUUAAUUUUUAAAUGAGUGCUGCUACACCAGUGUGUUCUAAAAUCAUGACCGAAACUAUGCAUUUAAUGAUGCUGACUUCAGCCGAUUAACUGCACCUGUAUGCUUCACGCAUAGAUUUAAGUUCAAACUCAAAGUAACAUUUUUAAAGUCGUUUUUUAUGAUGGAUUUUUUGGCUUUCAAUGGCCUUCAUUGACAGAGGUAAGGACAGUUGAUAGAGCAGGAAACAGGGGAGCGGGGGAUGGUAUGCAGGAAAGAUGCCACAGGGGGAAUUAAACCUGUGCUGCCUGUGUUGGUGGGGGGCGCAUGCGCCUAAAUUGCUAAGCUUACUAUGCCCCAAUAUCUUUUGAUGCUAAAGCUAUGUCCACACAGAGGUCAGAUUUUAACACAUAAGUGUUUUGUCGUUCUGAUAUUUUGUCUACAUGGACCCAGCCUUUUGGGAACCUAAAUACGCUAAUUUACAAGUCCCAAAGUGAACAAAUCUAAAGAUGCCACCUAUGCUCAUGUUAUACUGAUGAAACCAGAUGUUGUUCUUCAUGUGAUUGUUUACAUCACACAAGUUUGAUGCACAUCCUCCAUGUCUUAUUCUCUGAUGUUGUUGUAUUUCUGUGGCAGCAUUACAGCAUCACUUACAGGUCUGGUGUAUAAACAACAGCAUUUUUAUUGGUUUUGAUGUGGACACAGAUUUCACAAGAGGAUUCUAUUUUACGUAAACCUUUUAUAAAACUAAAAAGAAAAAAAAUCUGUCUCUGCUUGGACAUAGCCCAAGUUAAUAUUACCUUUGUCACCUUAGUGGUCUGACACCUUUUAAAAGUCAAUCGUGUCGUUCAGAAGUGCAGUAGUGAGAGGAGGCUGUGGUAAAAUGUACUUAGAGGUUGAGUUAUGAUUUCCUGGACGUGACAAAGCAGCAUGUGAACCAAAAAAAAAAAAAAGUAUUAUUUUCUAGUUUUAUAGUAUUGAUGUUAACAUCUGUCAUAUUAAUACUGACAGCCUAUAUUUAUGUUAACUGUGUGUUUGGGUGUGGGUGAGUAUAUAUGUGUAUAUAGGCUACACACAUUAUUUUAUAGAGAGGGCUAUUUACUAUGAACAUGGUGGUAGUAUUAAUUCACAGGUAAAUAUAAGGUGAGGUUACUUAUGGUUUGUUGAGUGUUUAGUGUUUGCUCAGAGAUGCUUUAACAUGACAUUUAUAAAGGAACGCACAAUGAGUUAUGCAAGGAUACAAUGGAGUUAUUGCGUCCUGAGUUAAAAGAAGUCACAUUCCCUUCCUGUGUGUGUUGCUGUCUGAGCUUUUCUCCUCUUAGCCUAUCUACACCUAGAAUCAAAAUGCUGUCCGAUGACUGGACCACAAGACAACCUGAGACAAAAGUGUCACUUGUGAUGCAUGCAGAUUCAGUCACUCAAGCCUCACACAGAGGUGGUCUGGGGCAUAUUUGUCCACAGGCAUCUUGCAGCGGGUAUGCAGAUGUGUACUCGGCCACUUUGAUGGGUUGAAUGGAUGAGGACAGAGAUAUGAUCAGUGAGCAUUUACAUCACAGUGUUUGGACAGAGGGUUGAAAUUUGACAACCCUUACAGAAAAUUGUUUUGAAGAUAAAUCUGCUUUUUGAUUCAAAAAAGAAGUUUAAGGGGUUGGGAUAGGCGGGGCUGACGUUCUGAUCUGUCCAGCUUGAGAUGCUUGUGCUCUAUGCACCAUCAUGUGACAGUAAAUAUUGUACAUAUGAUCUCAAAGUAAAAUUUUAUCUGUUAAGGAAACUAAAUUUCUCAGUGUAGUAAUGUAUCAAGUCAAAAUCCAUUUUUUUAAUAGAUCUCAACUACCAAAAAUCCUCAAGGACAACUGUGAUGUCUCUGAAUGUUUGAGGCACACAUUGUUAUUGCCGUCUAUAGGCAGGGCAUUACUACAGUUUCACACUGUACAAGUAAUAACUGUUUACACAUACAGACUGUUUAAACCACAUUCAAUAAGCUGAACAUGGUGACAUUGAAUAAAACAUGAAUUAAAAGAGAAUACAAUGAUCUGCAAAUACUUUUCAUCCUAUAGUCAACAGACGCACUACAAAGACAAGGUAUCAAACUGAUAGACUAUAUUGUGUGCAACAUGUUUCAAAAAUCCCGGAACAGGAGCAUGUUUACCACUGUGUUACAUCCUUUUAGCAACACUCAGUAAACAUUUGGGAACUGAGGACACCAAUCUUUGAAGCUUUGCAGAUAGAUGUAUUGAUGUAUGACUUAAGUUGCUCAACAGUCUGGGGUCUCCAGUGUCAUAUUUUGUGCCUCGUAGCUCUUCACACAUUUUCAGUGGGAGACAGGACUGAGCUGUGUUGUGGAAAAUCCAGCAUGAACUCCAGCACAGGAGACAGGAUGAGAUCUGAAGAACAGCCUGGGCGUCUUUUAUUGUACAGAUGUAGAAAUCAGUACAGAUGACAAACAGAGUCUCGACCAAGACCGAGGGAAGCCUCCUCAGCUUUUUCUUCUGCUCCCUUUUAUGCUGUUAGUUGUGUGUGUGUGUGCUCUGGCAGAGAUUAAAUGUUCCAACAGACAGAGAGUUCUGGUCCCUGCAAGACAGCCUUGCUUACAACCUCAGGGUCAUGAGGCAGCAUAAGCACGCCAACCUAGAUUAUUUGUAACUUCUUACUAAAAGAUUAUUACUCUAUAUUUCGUAACCUAAAUUCUACUACAGCUGCAGGCAGAAAAGUCCAGUACCUGCACUCUUACUUUGAAGUCACAUUGUUAUAGCACAUGCAGAAUGUGUCUUGACCAGGGGUCGGCAACCCGCGGCUCUGGAGCCGCAUGCCGCUCUUUCUUCCCUAAGCUGCGGCUCCCAAUGGAUUUGGAAAAUAAAUGAUAAAUACUUAAUUGCAUUUUAUUUUAUUUUAUUAUUAUUAUUAUUUUUUGUAAUUCUAAAUUCAAAGAUUAUAAUGCUCUUGUAACAUUAAAUAAACUAUUAAGGCUGCAACAACGAAUUGAUUAAGUAGAUUCGUCGUGACGAAAAAAUCCGUUGCCAACAAAUUCUGUAAUCGAUUCGUCGGGUCUUUAUAUAUGUCCAUGGACACCGGCGUGUAAACAUCAGCAAGACGCACAGAAAAGAAACAGUCAUGGCCGAGGCAGCGGCUGAGAAAAACAUGGACACAACCCAACCCAAAUCCCGACCUAAAACAUCAGUGGUGUGGGAAAACUUCACCAAGACUGAAAAGGAAGGCGUUCAGUGCAACAUUUGCAAAGACCGUUUUGCAUGGCUCGGGAGUACAUCGAUGAUGCGUGAGCACAGGGCUCUCAAGUCUCACGCAUUCAGCGUAUGACACACGCAUUCCCACUCGUUCACACGCUCACACACCACACAUUGUAUUUCUCACGCAUUUAAAUGAACACGGUGAUGUCCACCAAGUUGCACUUCAUCAACUAUGGAACUGGGGGAAAUCAACUGAGUUCCUCCGAGAGUUCAGAAGCUGCGUGCCACGCACAAGCCAAUCAAAUAAAGUAUAUCUACUGAACAGCCAAUCAAAAAGCAGCAUUGCUGUAUCCGGGUAGAUUUUGAUAUCUUGCGGUUUAACUACAGAAGAAGACAGACACUCGCCGAAAUAGUUCAUUUAUUUCAUAAAUGCAACUCGCUACAGUUUUUUAUAUACUUUGUAUAAAGGUAAAAAAAAAAGAUAUAUGCAAUGUUAUCUUCAUUUUAGAUGUCAAAGAGGUUUUGUGGCUCCCUGUGUUUUCUUUUCUGUGGGAAACUGGUCCAAGUGGCUCUUUGAGUGUUUAAGGUUGCCGACCCCUGGUCUUGACUGUCUUGCUGAAAAAAAAAACAGGGUUGUCCCUGAAAAACGAGAGAAUAUUUGCAGAGAAAACAAAAAAGAAAAAAACAAGUUUAUUGGUAUGAGCAUUUGAUAUCUUGUCUCCGUAUUAUAUUUCAUUCAAUAUCGGUAGAAAAGGAUUUGCAAAUCAUUGUGUUCUGUUUUUAUUCAUGUUUUACACAAAGUCCUAACUUUAUUAGAAUUGGGGUUUGUACAUUUGAAGUUGGCCAACCCUGAUAGCAUCUUUUUGAUUGAAGAUAAACAGAAACGUUUGGUAUUCUGAAGGUUUCCUCUACAUUGUUGUGUUUUACCGUUUAUUUCUUACAAGACAUAGGAUCAUAGUGAGUUUACACUGCUUUCGACACCCUUUGAUAGUGGUUUUUAAGUCUUUUGGGGAUUCUCCUAUCCAAUCAUGACCCUCACCUGUUAUACAAACAGAUGCUAUUGGAGCAUUCCUCAACUUUCACGGACUUUUGUUGACCCUGUUGAAGGCAUCAAAUUAAAAAAGUUAAUAUAAGCUAAAAAAAAAUAAAACUGUCAAAAAACAAUUAAGUUUGUUGGUUUGAACAUUUAAAAUGUUGUCUUUGUAGUGUAUUGGGCUGAAUAUAGAUCAAAAAGUUUGCAAAUUAUUUACUCUGUAUUUAUUCACAUUUUAUACAAAGUCUCAACUUCAUAGGAAUCGGGGUUUGCACGUACAGAAAUGUAAGCUGUUCAAUGGAGUAAUCAGCUAGGAGCUGAGAUUAUUCCAGCUGCUAACCACAAGCACAUUUCCCAGAAUGUCAAACUUUUUUUUAAAUCCUUUACAUUAAUUUAUGGUUUGUUUGGGUUUUUUUUCUCGAAAUAGGUAAAUAAGUGGAACAAGGGAGUAAUUUUUUAACUUUGGGAACAGUAUUUUGGGACACUUGAAGUGAACUAUCUUCUUUAAUCUUUUACCUUAAAUAACCAGAAUGACAUAUAAACUUUCCACUUUUGAUAUUAGAAUCGAAACAGACCAAAACAUUGCUGUCUGUGACCUUCGACUCGAGUUCUCAAUGAUCCACACCCAUAGCUGUAACCUUUGACCUCUGAAGCUCACCUCCCCUUUGUUUCUCACCCCUCCAAUCCAGUCUCACUGAACAGACUUGUAGUUAUUGUGUAGUAGUUAUGUUAUCAUGACAGACGUUUUAUAUGUCUGAACAUUACCGAGCUGAGCUGUAUGUCAGAAAGAAAAUGUUAAAAUCAGUUAAACAGCAAAGUAAAUGGACUAAAAUCUGAAAGCUUCCUGGUAUUAAGUUCAUGUGAUGUCUUACUGAACGUAUCUAAUUUCUCCACACAUUAAAUUAAGUUUAUGUGUUAAAAAUAAAAAGGUAUGUCACUCACAUGUACCCAUCAGUAAAAAUAUCUGUUGGCUAGUUCACACAGCAUUCCUGAAUGGUGCCUGUCAGUUACAAAACUUCCUAUUUUCAUUUUCAUAUUUACAAGCGACAGCAGUCACACUGCCAGCAAACUGCACCGGUGCGGUGCCAAAAAGCUUGAACAGGAGGCUUGUCAAGUUUUGUGAUGAGUGGAGCGUGGCUCAAAAUAGGUUUUUAGAGUUUUGUCAAAAAUGAGAUGUACAUUUACAGAAUUUUUGCUGAAACAAAUUAAGCAUGGCAGCUGUUGCGCACUGCUCAGGCAUGCUGUGUGAACUAAUGCUAAAGGUCCAGAUCAUAGACUGUAUAUACUAUGGACAACUUGGUUCCGCCCCCCGCCUGUAUACGGAUUUGAAGCCAAAAAGCUCUCGAUAUUUCUGGGUUUUUUCUUUAUUUCCUGAAACCAGAGCUGCGCAGUAGCAUUGUGCGCAUUCGGCCGCGCAGUUGCAGAGAGUUGCUGUGAUGACGCUCGGCUCAAACAGCGUAUCCCCCGGGAGAGCUACGCAAUCCCUGAACGCCCAUAGGCUGUAUCAGGUGUCAAUCAUAGAAAACAUGAACCUCCUAAUAACUUUUAAAAACAGAGCUUCACAGAAAAAAAGAGGACUUGACCAGUCUUACAGUAACUACAUGUCAACAUCACAAGCAGGGGGAGAAAAAUGUAUGUUCUGUGAAAUUAAUUUCUAAAGUUUGUCCACAGUCCCAUAAGGUUUGCUGGCAGAGACAGGAUUUGUGGCCUGUACUGCAGCCCGUCACCAGAGGGUGCUGUUCUCGAAGUGGCUUCACCCAGUGAGGAGGCAGACGCUGUCCAUUCUUUAUACAGUCUAUGGUCCAGAUACAGUGUCAGUGUGACGUGUUGUAGAGCUGUUCGGUUUCUCAUCUUUUCCAAAUAUGACCUCAAACCAAAACAAUCUAAACUGGACAAAACACUGGUUUGGUGCUAUUUUUUAUUGCACAACUUAUUUGAUUUCUUACUUUUUCUCUGACUGGCAUUGACUUUAUAGGGAGAAUGCAAAUAUUUUUCCACUGUUUUGUGUAAAGACUAUAUAUUUUACUCUUUUUUUUUUCAUAUUUUAUAUCAAGUAGAAGCUGGUAUUUUUUUGCCAAAUAAAUAUACUCCCUCAGGCUGGUCAAUAUAAGUAUUAAGCAAUACCUGCUGCUUGAUUUUUAAGCAACCAACACUGCCUUCAACACAACAUUCACUUUUUUAAGUAUAUGGCUUCCCCAUGGAUAAG